rnacentral:rRNA from 1 species
AGCUCCAAUAGCGUAUAUUAAAGUUGUUGCAGUUAAAAAGCUCGUAGUUGGAUUUCUGGUUGGAGCGAUCGGUCCCGCACUUGGUGUGGGUACUGCGUCGUCUCCGGCCAUCUUUGGGGAGAUCCUAUGUGGCAUUAAGUUGUUGCGUGGGGGAUGCUCAUCGUUUACUGUGAAGAAAUUAGAGUGUUCAAAGCAGGCUUAUGCCGCUGAAUACAUUAGCAUGGAAUAAUAAGAUAGGACCUUGGUACUAUUUUGUUGGUUUGCGCACCAAGGUAAUGAUUAAUAGGGACAGUUGGGGGUAUUCGUAUUCAAUUGUCAGAGGUGAAAUUCUUGGAUUUCUGGAAGACGAACUACUGCGAAAGCAUUUACCAAGGAUGUUUUCA